AGGAGGGGCUCAUUCAUACAAAAUAGGCGUGGUUUCUUGGAUAUAACUGCGCAUGCGCAAGAACUUUCCUGGUAAGUGGUAACCGUUUGAAAGAGUUCCAUCUCUGUGUUGGUUCUUUCUCCUCUCUUUCUAAUGGAGGAAGGCUCAGAUGGCAGCUCUAGCGUCCUCAGUAGUCCAAGCAGUACCUCUGCCACCUCUGCAGUAUCUUUCAAGAAGCAGCCAUUGCAUCUUUAUGGUGAAUACAAGCCUCUUUCUGGUGUAUACAAUAAACACCAUCAACCUUUACCUCUGGUACUGACUGGUAUUAAAGACUCUAACAGUGAAGGUUUUAUUUCUGCUCUCAAGUCACUCCAAAGCAAGAUUCACCAAUGACUAAAUUACACCGGUGCAAUUGUCAGCCAAGAGCUCAGAGCAGCAGUUGCCAUUGCAAAUCAAUAGACAGUAAGAUUUAUAAGACAUCAGUAUGACAGGCCAACACUCCAGAUCACAGGAAGACCAUUCUAUUAUUAUUCUUCGUUGAAAAUUGACAUCAAAGAUUCUUCUGUGAUUCAUUGUUUAAUUAUUGAAUAAUCAUAACUGCAUUAUAUCUAUAUUAUUAUUAUCUUUGCUUGAUUUGAAUCUUAAUUGCUUAUGGUACACACCUGACCUCCAUGA